UGCUGUGAGCUCGAUGAGUAGGGCGGGACACGUGGUAUCCUGUCUGAAUAUGGGGGGACCAUCCUCCAAGGCUAAAUACUCCUGACUGACCGAUAGUGAACCAGUACCGUGAGGGAAAGGCGAAAAGAACCCCGGCGAGGGGAGUGAAAAAGAACCUGAAACCGUGUACGUACAAGCAGUGGGAGCACAGGUUUACCUGUGUGACUGCGUACCUUUUGUAUAAUGGGUCAGCGACUUAUAUUCUGUAGCAAGGUUAACCGUAUAGGGGAGCCGGAGGGAAACCGAGUCUUAAUUGGGCGUUAAGUUGCAGGGUAUAGACCCGAAACCCGGUGAUCUAGCCAUGGGCAGGUUGAAGGUUGGGUAACACUAACUGGAGGACCGAACCGACUAAUGUUGAAAAAUUAGCGGAUGACCUGUGGCUGGGGGUGAAAGGCCAAUCAAACCGGGAGAUAGCUGGUUCUCCCCGAAAGCUAUUUAGGUAGCGCCUCGUGAAUUCAUCUCCGGGGGUAGAGCACUGUUUCGGCUAGGGGGCCAUCCCGGCUUACCAACCCGAUGCAAACUGCGAAUACCGGAGAAUGUUAUCACGGGAGACACACGGCGGGUGCUAACGUCCGUCGUGAAGAGGGAAACAACCCAGACCGCCAGCUAAGGUCCCAAAGUCAUGGUUAAGUGGGAAACGAUGUGGGAAGGCCCAGACAGCCAGGAUGUUGGCUUAGAAGCAGCCAUCAUUUAAAGAAAGCGUAAUAGCUCACUGGUCGAGUCGGCCUGCGCGGAAGAUGUAACGGGGCUAAACCAUGCACCGAAGCUGCGGCAGCGACACUGUGUGUUGUUGGGUAGGGGAGCGUUCUGUAAGCCUGUGAAGGUGUGUCGUGAGGCAUGCUGGAGGUAUCAGAAGUGCGAAUGCUGACAUAAGUAACGAUAAAGCGGGUGAAAAGCCCGCUCGCCGGAAGACCAAGGGUUCCUGUCCAACGUUAAUCGGGGCAGGGUGAGUCGACCCCUAAGGCGAGGCCGAAAGGCGUAGUCGAUGGGAAACGGGUUAAUAUUCCCGUACUUGGUGUUACUGCGAAGGGGGGACGGAGAAGGCUAUGUUGGCCGGGCGACGGUUGUCCCGGUUUAAGCGUGUAGGUGUGUGUUCCAGGUAAAUCCGGUUCACUUUAACACUGAGGCGUGACGACGAGGCACUACGGUGCUGAAGCAACAAAUGCCCUGCUUCCAGGAAAAGCCUCUAAGCAUCAGGUAACAUCAAAUCGUACCCCAAACCGACACAGGUGGUCAGGUAGAGAAUACCAAGGCGCUUGAGAGAACUCGGGUGAAGGAACUAGGCAAAAUGGUGCCGUAACUUCGGGAGAAGGCACGCUGACACGUAGGUGAAGUGAUUUACUCAUGGAGCUGAAGUCAGUCGAAGAUACCAGCUGGCUGCAACUGUUUAUUAAAAACACAGCACUGUGCAAACACGAAAGUGGACGUAUACGGUGUGACGCCUGCCCGGUGCCGGAAGGUUAAUUGAUGGGGUCAGCGCAAGCGAAGCUCCUGAUCGAAGCCCCGGUAAACGGCGGCCGUAACUAUAACGGUCCUAAGGUAGCGAAAUUCCUUGUCGGGUAAGUUCCGACCUGCACGAAUGGCGUAAUGAUGGCCAGGCUGUCUCCACCCGAGACUCAGUGAAAUUGAACUCGCUGUGAAGAUGCAGUGUACCCGCGGCAAGACGGAAAGACCCCGUGAACCUUUACUAUAGCUUGACACUGAACAUUGAGCCUUGAUGUGUAGGAUAGGUGGGAGGCUUUGAAGCGUGGACGCCAGUCUGCGUGGAGCCGACCUUGAAAUACCACCCUUUAAUGUUUGAUGUUCUAACGUGGACCCGUGAUCCGGGUUGCGGACAGUGUCUGGUGGGUAGUUUGACUGGGGCGGUCUCCUCCUAAAGAGUAACGGAGGAGCACGAAGGUUGGCUAAUCCUGGUCGGACAUCAGGAGGUUAGUGCAAUGGCAUAAGCCAGCUUGACUGCGAGCGUGACGGCGCGAGCAGGUGCGAAAGCAGGUCAUAGUGAUCCGGUGGUUCUGAAUGGAAGGGCCAUCGCUCAACGGAUAAAAGGUACUCCGGGGAUAACAGGCUGAUACCGCCCAAGAGUUCAUAUCGACGGCGGUGUUUGGCACCUCGAUGUCGGCUCAUCACAUCCUGGGGCUGAAGUAGGUCCCAAGGGUAUGGCUGUUCGCCAUUUAAAGUGGUACGCGAGCUGGGUUUAGAACGUCGUGAGACAGUUCGGUCCCUAUCUGCCGUGGGCGCUGGAGAACUGAGGGGGGCUGCUCCUAGUACGAGAGGACCGGAGUGGACGCAUCACUGGUGUUCGGGUUGUCAUGCCAAUGGCACUGCCCGGUAGCUAAAUGCGGAAGAGAUAAGUGCUGAAAGCAUCUAAGCACGAAACUUGCCCCGA
rnacentral:rRNA from 1 species